UACGAAGGGGGCUAGCGUUGCUCGGAAUCACUGGGCGUAAGGGGUGCGUAGGCGGGUCUUUAAGUCAGGGGUGAAAUCCUGGAGCUCAACUCCAGAACUGCCUUUGAUACUGAGGAUCUUGAGUUCGGGAGAGGUGAGUGGAACUGCGAGUGUAGAGGUGAAAUUCGUAGAUAUUCGCAAGAACACCAGUGGCGAAGGCGGCUCACUGGCCCGAUACUGACGCUGAGGCACGAAAGCGUGGGGAGCAAACAGG
rnacentral:rRNA from 1 species